rnacentral:rRNA from 1 species
AGUGAACGCUGGCGGCAGGCCUAACACAUGCAAGUCGAACGGCAGCACAGUAAGAGCUUGCUCUUACGGGUGGCGAGUGGCGGACGGGUGAGGAAUACAUCGGAAUCUACUUUUUCGUGGGGGAUAACGUAGGGAAACUUACGCUAAUACCGCAUACGACCUACGGGUGAAAGCAGGGGAUCUUCGGACCUUGCGCGAUUGAAUGAGCCGAUGUCGGAUUAGCUAGUUGGCGGGGUAAAGGCCCACCAAGGCGACGAUCCGUAGCUGGUCUGAGAGGAUGAUCAGCCACACUGGAACUGAGACACGGUCCAGACUCCUACGGGAGGCAGCAGUGGGGAAUAUUGGACAAUGGGCGCAAGCCUGAUCCAGCCAUACCGCGUGGGUGAAGAAGGCCUUCGGGUUGUAAAGCCCUUUUGUUGGGAAAGAAAAGCAGCGGGUUAAUACCCCGCUGUUCUGACGGUACCCAAAGAAUAAGCACCGGCUAACUUCGUG